GAGUUUGAUCUUGGCUCAGGACGAACGCUGGCGGCGUGCCUAAUACAUGCAAGUCGAGCGGACAGAAGGGAGCUUGCUCCCGGAAGUCAGCGGCGGACGGGUGAGUAACACGUGGGCAACCUGCCCUGCAGAUUGGGAUAACUCCGGGAAACCGGGGCUAAUACCGAAUAACAUCGGAAACCUCAUGGUUUCCUUUUAAAAGGCGGCUUCGGCUGUCACUGCAGGAUGGGCCCGCGGCGCAUUAGCUAGUUGGUGAGGUAACGGCUCACCAAGGCGACGAUGCGUAGCCGACCUGAGAGGGUGAUCAGCCACACUGGGACUGAGACACGGCCCAGACUCCUACGGGAGGCAGCAGUGGGGAAUUUUGGACAAUGGGCGCAAGCCUGAUCCAGCCAUGCCGCGUGAGUGAAGAAGGCC
rnacentral:rRNA from 1 species